rnacentral:lncRNA from 1 species
GGGUCUGUUUAGUUUUAUAGCAGAGGGAAUUUAGAAUAGCAGUGAAUAGAUACACACCUGUCAGCUCUUCAGAAAUAAAACGAGACUGAGCAUGCAGGGAUGGAGUUUGUUUAUUCUUUUCAUCUGUUGUCACCUUCUCUUCUGCAAUUGAUUUUAAAUGAGGAGGAAGUGAACUGACAAAUACAUGCAGUCUCAUUACGGUGUCUCAUCUUUCCUGAUAACAGCGUUAGUAGGUUAUGGAUGAAGUCCAUAAGAGCAGGCACGUCGAUCAGAAAGUCAGAAGUCCUCUCGCAUACAUUUACAACAAACCCUGCAGUGUGGACUAAAAAUGGAGCGGUUUACACUGCUGUUUUCUCAGGCUACCUCUUCUCUCCUCUGGUUCUCCCAUUUCCUCUCCGUCUCUGAUGCACCCUCUAUCACCAGGAGUCAGCAGCAGGGUCGGAUUCCGCUCCUGCAGACAUAGUGUCCUCCGGCGACCCCGAGUUUUGCUGAGUUUCCCCUGGCUGGUAGGGUGUUUCAUCGAGAGUGAAGACUCACAGUCUUCAAGAGGAAGAUUUCCAGCUAAACCCUGGAGAAGCACUUUCCACUUGUCAGUGUCUUUCAUCACCCUCCCAGCUCUCAGAGGUGGUGCUGAUCUCCCCCCUGUCAUCCAAGAGCAGCGAGAAGGAAAGUGGUCUCUUGAGAUUGCACUCCAAAUGUACCCCUGCAUUUUCUGUUUCAUUGACAAUGUUCUCUCACACAUUUUUGGGAUGAGAGAACCACAAGUCAAGGCAGAGGCCUUUCCCAAGGGGCAGGACUCUUAG